GGAAGCCCUUGCCUCCAUCUUCUUCUUCUUCCGGCCGCCGACCCUUGCUCCAGCUUUUUCUCCGCCGGCGUACCCCAGACCACUCUACCCACGCGUUGAGGACGUUACCCCUUAUCCGGCGGCUCUGCGAACCCACGUCCACGAUCACGUUCCUCUGCCAACUGACGCGAGUAGACACUCACAUAGAUAGACGCCGAGCGUUCUUCUCCGUUGAACACCCACUUCGAACAAACUUCAUAGCAGCGGUUCUCACCUGUUUGACGAGCUUCGGC
rnacentral:misc_RNA from 1 species